rnacentral:rRNA from 2 species
CCCGACGGCCGCAAGGUUAAAACUCAAAUGAAUUGACGGGGGCCCGCACAAGCGGUGGAGCAUGUGGUUUAAUUCGAUGCAACGCGAAGAACCUUACCUACUCUUGACAUCCAGCGAAUCCUGUAGAGAUACGGGAGUGCCUUCGGGAACGCUGAGACAGGUGCUGCAUGGCUGUCGUCAGCUCGUGUUGUGAAAUGUUGGGUUAAGUCCCGCAACGAGCGCAACCCUUAUCCUUUGUUGCCAGCGGUUCGGCCGGGAACUCAAAGGAGACUGCCAGUGAUAAACUGGAGGAAGGUGGGGAUGACGUCAAGUCAUCAUGGCCCUUACGAGUAGGGCUACACACGUGCUACAAUGGCGUAUACAAAGAGAAGCGAACUCGCGAGAGCAAGCGGACCUCAUAAAGUACGUCGUAGUCCGGAUUGGAGUCUGCAACUCGACUCCAUGAAGUCGGAAUCGCUAGUAAUCGUGGAUCAGAAUGCC